CUUGCGUCAGCCUCUGAGCCGGCAGCCAGAUGCUCUUCUUGCUUGAUGGUCAUCAUCCCAGAGGUGGGGAGUCACUGUAGUUUCCACAGAGGACUGACUGUACCAGCUGCUUUGCAUACAUCAUCUAUGAUUCCCUCGGUAUCUCCGCAAGGUUGGUGUUAUUAUCCACAAGUUCCGGAUGGGAGGAAAGACUCAGAGAAGUCAAGGAACACCCUCUGACUCACACAGCUGCUGGCUGGUGCUGACUGACUCCAGGGGCCCCUCUGUCUCCUUGGUGGGUUUCUGAGUGAUCCCAGGAUGUGAAGUAAGAGGGGCCUGUUUCCUCCUGAGCCUCAGAUGUGCACACUGAUCUGUCCCUCAGACCACCAUGAAUUUAGGAUGAGGAGGGUGAGCAGGGAAGUUUCUUCUGAUGGAGGCACAAGGCUUUCCUCAAUCUAAGUCUGGGGUGGAACUGACUCAUGGCCAUGGUUCUGGUUUCCCAACCUGUGGAGUGAGCAUCCUUGACGCUGCACCAGGAGUGAACGAUGGACUGGGAAAUUUUCUAGCAAUGGCAACCCACUCCAGUGUUCUUGCCUGGAGAAUCCCAGGGAAGGGGGAGCCUGGUGGGCUGCUGUCUAUGGGGUCGCACAGAGUCGGACACGACUGAAGUGACUUAGCAGCAGCAGCAGCGUAGUUUCUAGAGUAUAGGUAUCUGAGAUCAGUUUAAUAACAAUUAAGCCAGAAUAACAACUGAUGCUGAAGCUGAAGCUCCAAUACUUUGGCCACCUGAUGCUGACUCAUUGGAAAAGACCCUGAUUCUAGAAAAGGAGAAGAAGGCAAAAGGAGAAGGGGACGACGGAGGAUGAGAUGGUUGGACAGCAUCACCAACUCAAUGGACAUGAGUUUGUUGAGCAAACUCUGGGAGACAGUGAAGAACUCAGAAGCCUGGUACGCUUCAGCCCAUGGGGUCACAAAGAGUUGGACAUGACUCAGCGACUGAACAACAAGCCAGAAUAUGGAUAUUGAUGUAUUUCUCUCUAAUUCUGCUGUAAAUUAGUUUCAAAGCAGUUAACAGCAUUGAAUCCCAAUGCUUCAAAGUCUGAUUAGCUGCCUGCUUUUGACCGUUGGUCCUACACUUAAGAGGCCCUGAAUACAUAACCCCAAAGUAUGCCUCUUUGGUGUAUUUAUUAUUGUGAGCUGAAGACAAUUGGGAUACAGGAAGGGCUCUUUAUGCUCCCUCCCCCUUUCUUCUUAAAAAAAUUUAUUUUUAAAAUUUGUUUGGCUAUACUGCUUGGCAUGCAGGAUCUUAGUUCCCUGACCAGGGAUCAAACUCAUGCCUCCUGCAUUAACUUAACUGCUGGACAGCCAGGGAAGUCCCAACCCUCCCCCUUUCUACCUAAAAGCAGGUCUCCUAACAGUUCCCAUGAAAAAGAUAUCUCCUUAUAACAGAAGAGAACAUUCUUUUAUUUUUCUGUCUCCCAGUUUUCUUGAGAGAUAUUGACAUUAAACUUUGUAUAAGUUUACUGUGUACAAUGUGAUGACUCUGAAGAAUCUCCUUCGACUGGGAGCUGACUUAAACCAAAAUGGACCUGUAGUGAGAACCCCACUAGAGUGAGCCUGAUCUUUCACGAGUUCCUGCAGCAUAUUUCCUAGGUAUUGUCCCCCAAUUUGUACAGAUGACCACCUCCAGCUAGCUGUGCUGCAGGGCACUGUUGGGUCACCCCAAUUUGCUGCCCCUCACCAAAGCCCCUUCGCCUUGUGGCAUCACCGCAAUUCUUUGUUGUGUAAAAAGGAAUAUAAGCUUUUGACUCUAAUGACUUUCUCACGUCUUCAUUUUCUUUCUGAAGACUCCU
ensembl:lncRNA